CAGUCGCCGCGGGAAUACGAAGGGUGCAAGCGUUACUCGGAAUUACUGGGCGUAAAGCGUGCGUAGGUGGUGGUUUAAGUCCGUUGUGAAAGCCCUGGGCUCAACCUGGGAAUUGCAGUGGAUACUGGGUCACUAGAGUGUGGUAGAGGAUAGUGGAAUUUCCGGUGUAGCAGUGAAAUGCGUAGAGAUCGGAAGGAAAAUCUGUGGCGAAGGCGACUAUCUGGGCCAACACUGACACUGAGGCACGAAAGCGUGGGGAGCAAACAGGAUUAGAUACCCCUGUAGUCCCUGUCUCUUAUAC
rnacentral:rRNA from 1 species